GACGAACGCUGGCGGCGUGCCUAACACAUGCAAGUCGAGCGGGGUUGAGGCGAGAGGUAACUCGAACUUCUACCUAGCGGCGGACGGGUGAGUAACGCGUGGGCAACCUGCCUCAAGGUUUGGGAUAACAGCCCGAAAGGGCUGCUAAUACCGGAUAUGCCUAUGGCCUCGCAUGGGGCUAUGAGCAAAGGGGAAACCCGCCUUGAGAUGGGCCCGCGUCCCAUCAGCUAGUUGGUGAGGUAACAGCUCACCAAGGCGACGACGGGUAGCCGGCCUGAGAGGGUGACCGGCCACACUGGGACUGAGACACGGCCCAGACUCCUACGGGGGGGCAGCAGUGGGGGAUCUUGCACAAUGGGCGAAAGCCUGAUGCAGCGACGCCGCGUGAGCGAAGAAGGCCUUCGGGUUGUAAAGCUCUGUCUGGAGGGACGAACAAAAUGACGGUACCUCCGGAGGAAGCCACGGCUAACUACGUG
rnacentral:rRNA from 1 species